rnacentral:rRNA from 1 species
GACGAACGCUGGCGGCGUGCUUAAUACAUGCAAGUCGAACGGAAAGGCGCGGCGUUUGUUGGUUUCACGAGUGGCGAACGGGUGAGUAAAACGUGAGUAACAUGCCCUUGAAUGUGGGAUAACUCCAGGAAAAUGGGGAUCAAAUCGGGGAGGAGAUAUUGAUGCAUGGGGUGGGUUGGAAAGUGUCGGCGGUGGUGGAUAGACUCGCGGGUUAUCAGCUGGUUGGUGAGGUAGUGGUUUACCAGGGUUUUGACGGGUAGGCCGCCUGAGAGGGUUACCGGGGUCAUUGCGCCUGAGAUACGGCCCAGUAUCCUAUGUGAGGCAGCAGUCGAGAAUUUUGCACAAUGGGCGGAAGCCAGAUGCAGCAACCUCCCGUGCGGGAUGCCGUGUUACGGGUGGUAAACCGAUUUCUCAUGUGCUGAACCCUGAUUGACGGUAAUGGGUAAGAAAGCCCCGGCUAACUACGUG